AUUGAACGCUGGCGGCAGGCCUAACACAUGCAAGUCGAACGGUAACAGGAAACAGCUUGCUGUUUCGCUGACGAGUGGCGGACGGGUGAGUAAUGUCUGGGAAACUGCCUGAUGGAGGGGGAUAACUACUGGAAACGGUAGCUAAUACCGCAUAACGUCGCAAUACCAAAGAGGGGGACCUUCGGGCCUCUUGCCAUCGGAUGUGCCCAGAUGGGAUUAGCUAGUAGGUGGGGUAACGGCUUACCUAGGAGACGAUCCCUAGCUGGUCGGGGAGGAUGACCAGCCCCACUGGUACUGGCACACUGUCCAGGCUCCUACGGGAGGCAGCAGUGGGGAAUAUUGCACAAUGGGCGCAAGCCUGAUGCAGCCAUGCCGCGUGUAUGAAGAAGGCCUUCGGGUUGUAAAGUACUUUCAGCGGGGAGGAAGGGAGUAAAGUCAAUACCUUUGCUCAUUGACGUUACCCGCAGAAGAAGCACCGGCUAACUCCGUGCCAGCAGCCGCGGUAA
rnacentral:rRNA from 1 species